AUUUAAUAGUUACUGACUUUUAAUUAUUCAAUAUAUAUUUAUUAUUUCAUAAUAUGUAAAAAUAUUUAAUACAUAAAAUAAUUUAUAUAUAUAUAAUGUUCAUUCCGCGUAAGGCGCGGGUCUUAACCUAGUUUUGUAAUAUUUCUGAAAGCAACGAAUCUUUUUUUAAUGUUCUAUUUUUUUGUCUUUGUUAAAUUAACUUCUUACCAAUUUUAUUUGUUUAUGGUAGUCUGAUCUGUCUUUGGCAGCGAUAAUUUUGAACUAAUAAACCCACGUUCUGUAUUUGAAAUUUAUUUGAAAGUAACAAUCGUUUCUAGUGCUUUAAAUUUAAUCUUUGUUAGUCUAACUACUUUCACUAAUUUAUACUAUUUGUUUAUGGUAGUGCUGAUCUGUUUAUGACAGCGCUAAUUAAUCUUGAACCCAUUGACCAACGUUUUCUAUUUGUUAUUUAUUUGAAAGUAACAAAUCUUAUCUAGUGCCUCUAGUUUUUAGUAUUUGUUAAUUCAAUUUCUUACACAAAAUUAAUUUAAUAUCUGUUAAUAGUAGUGCCGAAUUUGAUCUACCAUUUAUUUUAAUCAAUUAUUUUAGAGAAUAUGCCUUCAACAACAUGUUUCACGGAAGCACAAAAGAGGCGAAAAGAAAGAAGAUGAUGGGUUGGUGAAAUCCUUGCACGGUUUUAUUGAGUAAACUAAAACAACAAAUGCUUGAUAAAAAAUAGGGUCCUAAAUAAUAUAAAAGUAAAAUUUAGUUUUAUUGGUCUAUGAUAAUUUUUUUUUUAUAUGUGUCAUAUGUGAUCUAGCAGAGUAGAGACUAGACAGAUAUCAUUGUCGCAUAUCAUAAGUGUGAAUGAGUUUUCUCCAAAUAAAUUCCAAUUCUGCAAAAUAAGCUUCAGUUAUCAAAAAAGUGAUAGCGUUUAGCGGUUGUUUUGUUAAGCCUUAAGCUGAUUCUGACAUAACCGCAUGAAACACGCGAUUUCUACCGCCAUCUAUCAGACAUAACCAAACUAAAUACCAUGUCCCGAAAAAGUUUACAUUUUAACUAUUCAAGAAUCUUUAGUUUCAGUUAUAAAGAAACUACACUGUUCUAAUAGAAACACAUUAUAUCUGGAGGAUACUGAAAAGAUUCUGACGCUUAAGCGGCCGUACGAAUGCGUAUACGGCAAUAGCUCGAAGUGAAGCCUAAUAAGUUUUCUCGACGUUGGAGUUUUCUCUCAGUCUCGUUACUAAUCCGAACGAAAAGGUAAGAACUUACAAAUUAAUAAUAUUAGAAAGUAUUCUGGCAUUGGCCUUUAGAUUAUGCUAUGUGAUCAUUAGCGAGAAUAAGAAGUAGUGGCCUCGAUGCGAGCAUUAUCGCUCAUGCCAGUGGAACAAGAGUAGUAGAGCAACAACUUCUCAUUUAGAAUUUGAGUGCAUGACGUUUGACCAACGAUCAUGUUAUAUGUUUCCUUUGGUUCAGUAUUGUAUGAUCCACUGUCCUUUGUCCAGGUAGGUAUUCCGUUGCGUUAACUUGUCUCAUUUCUUUGUCUUAAGUUCCCAGUGUGAUUUUGUCUUCAAAUGCUAAUGGCAGAACCGAUUUGAACAUUGACCGUGUUGCAGUUCUUGAAUGAGAUAAUUACAAUUAUGAUGUAGCUAUAAUUGUACUGAAGGGUUGUCAAUGCAAAUUCUGUUGUAACUAUCUGUAAUGAUAUAACUAAACAUAUUCAAUAUUUUCAGCUUUCUUCUUAUUCCUCGUAUUCAAAUUGGUAUAGGAACAAAAGUAAACCAAUGUGACUUUGAACCAAAAAAAAAACCAAUGUGACUAUUAGUAAAGCUUAUAGCUUCCAUGAAUGCUUGAGCUUAUUCCAGGAGGUCAAAUUCAGACUUAUACACAAAGCCAUGCAGACAAGCUGUAAGUGAUGCUAUUUUGUGAUCUCAUAACUGAUAACAGCUUAAGAUUCACACUGAUAUGGUGUUCUUUAUUUGGAUACAGUGGAAAAAAAAAUCAAGGAGGUUCUUGAGAUCAAGCAAUGAAAUCUUCCAUGUCCAAUGAAAAUAAUUAUUGACAAAAUGGAAAUGUGAUCUGGAUGUGUUAACAAUUAGUUUGAUUUAUUAGGGAUAUGCAAAUACAAAUUCACAUUUCAAGAAGUCUUUGCCUGUUUUGUGACUUUUUUAUUAUGUGAAAAAGUCUGGAUUAUCCAUGAUAUAAGAAUACAUCAAAUGAGUUAUCAAAAAUUAUUAUUCAUAUUCUCUGACAAAAUAUUUAAUGUUUCUGAUUUUCUAUUUAAUUUUUUUUAUAGACAUAUGGGUAUCAUGUUUCUGAAACUAAUAAUUAUAUUAUUGAGGAAUUCACAUUAUUAACUAAAGAUAAUGGGUAACCAAUGUAAAUUUGGAUUGAUUCUACAAUAGAACAAUGACACUAAUGCAAGCACACGAAUGAAAACACAUGUAAAUUUGGGACUUGUUACUUACAUAUUUGAGGUUUUUUCUUUAAAUAUCAAAAUUUGACAUAUAUUUUCUGUUAGAUUCAUUACUUUUGUAUUCUGAAAAUUAAUUUUAAUUUUAUCAUCAUAUUGACUAAAAUGAUAAUUGUGUCUAUUUUAUAAGCAUCCUUGUUCUAGUUUUUAUUCACAACUAAUAGUUUCUAACUAUGUUAUCAAACUAGUAUUGUUAUCAUUUUGUUUUUUUUUUCUUAUAUUUUACUUGGAUAUUGCUUAUAUUGGCUUAUUUUAUUAUUGAGUCUUAUGUGAAAUUUUUAGCAGAAAAUAAUGAAUAACACUCAUAAGUUCUUCCAUUAAAUAUAUAAAUUUUGUUGAAUACUUUAUAUUUUACAUAUUAUAUUUAAAUUUGGUUAGGUACUUCAUAUAUACUAGUUCUUCCCUCGAGCUGUUUCCACCUUAUCAGUGGAAAAGACUUGUUAAGAAAGAACCAUAGUGGCCUGACAACUCUGGAUAACAAACGUAACAUUUGCUGCAGGUUUUCAUGCGUUCUUUUCCUCUCGAUGUGUUCCUGCUACGUACUUAACAUGGUGGCAAUGCAAACCUCAGUUCAUUGGAUGUGACUUUGCCAUCACUCUUUAUUGCUAUAAUAUGUAUGACAUUUGCAUUCUUUUUUUGGUUUAUAAAGUUGCUCGGAAUCCUUCUCCCUCACGUUUACUAUAUCUUUUGUGUUUCUGAGUUUUGUAGAUGACGACGAAGGCGAAAAUUGUAAGACCUCUAGUCACAGGAUUGUGAAGAGGGCGGAGUCAGUUGAGAAUGAUCUCAUGCAAUGAUCACAUCAGACACUAGUUAAAAAGAGAUGUUUAAUCAUAAAUAUGGUUGCUCUCAUUAGAUGAAUGGUUAGAAUUCUGCAUUUUUCGCUAGCUUAUAUAUAAUGAGUUGCUCUUAUUAGAUGAAUGUUUUUAAUCUUUGUUACUUUCGCUGCUUUCACUAAUUUAUAUUUGUUUAUGGUAGUGCUGAUCUGUUUAUGACAGCGCUUAUUAAAUCUUGAACCCAUUGACACACGUUCUCUAUGUGUUAUUUAUGUGAGAGUAUAAAUUAGUGUAAGAAAUUAAAUUAAAAAAAAAUAGAGGCACUAGAUAAGAUUUGCAAGUUUUGCAAGAUAUAUCCACUAUUUUAUUUUAAUCAAUCAUUUUAGAGAAUAUGCCUCUAACAACAUGUUUCACGGAAGCACAAAAGAGACAAAAAGAAGGAUAGAAAAUGAGGUUUUUUUGAAGACUUGGCUCAACAAGAAUUUGACUUGAUGAAUACAAGGACAAAUCAUAUGAUUCUUGAUAGUUUCUGGUUGAUUAGCGAGUGAGAAGACUUGUUUAGCUGCCAAGAUUGGUCUCUAAACGACUAAACCGAUGGUUGUUAAUUAUAGUCAAAUUUGAUUUGGCAGUGUAGAGGUUUUUGUCACAACGUUGUACGUUUUAUGACAUGUAGAAUCCUAGUUAUGAAGUUUGGACUAAGAAAAACUUAGUUCAAACACCUUUUUUUCUAAAUGAAAAUGAUCAUUGUUCUUCACAUAGUGUGUGUUAACUCAUGCUCUAGGAGACAAAUGUAGAUUGUUUUUCAGACACUUGUGUUAUUUAAUCAGACGUUAUUUUAUUUGUAUAAUAUAUGAACAAACGAAUUCACAAUUCAUUGUAACGCCAAGAUUCUAGCUUUUUAUACAGCAGCGUCCUGGAACGCGAUUGCGUUAUAGAUUUAUCGUCAAUCGUUUGAAACUGGCGUCUGCGUUUCAGGAGCGUAUGAGUUAUGACACGUUUACAGAAGAGCACAUUGAGAUACGGUGCUCCGCGAAACAGCGAACCCAAUCCGCCUUAAACCCUCCCGACCGAAGUCGACGAACAGACAACGAUCCUCCGAUGGAGUUUGAGAUCAAUGAAAGCUAGUUUCUUUUUUUUUCUCGAGAAUGGCGCUCGUGAGGAGGCUUCAAACAGAAUCUUCUUCCUUUCCGUGAGAUUGGUCUUCCCUUUGAUUGCGAUUUAGGAAGCUUUAUGGUUCCAUUUGCCUCGCUUUGACGCAAAAAGAUUCAAUUUUUAAGCUUAUUCCUCUUUGGAUUGAGCUAAAAGGAAUCAACUUUGAUCAGGUUUCAUCGUUUGUUUUCUAGUUUUCGAAGUGGAAAUGAGUUCUCUUGGAUUCAGAGUGGAGAUGAGUUGAGAUUAGGGUGUUGGAGGAGAGCUAUCAUUCUUCGCUUUGUCACGUUCUGUGAAUCCUUUCUCCAUUGAUUUGACUCUAAUGUAGUGUGCUUUUGAGUAAUGUAAUUGGCAUGUUUCAGUUCCCGACACUCAUGGAUUAAGCGUUUAUUCACGCUUAUAUGAGCGCUACAAAACACAUUUGCUACAGACUACAACGAUGUUUCAAAAGGAGCGGUUGGAAAACAACAAAAGAGGAUUUUAUACGGGAGCUAAGAAGUGCUUACGCUAUCGCAAAGUUAACAAAGACUGGUUACUCAAAGAAUAAGUUCUACAUUGAAGCACUAAAGUUAUACAAAGAGACUAACAUUAUGAUGGCCAAUGGUGACCAGAAGACAAUAAUGAAAAACUUAACUGAAAGGAUGUUGUUUUCAGCAAGCAUUGAAGAACGAAAUUAGACAAAGAGAAGCCAUGUGGGGUACUGUUUACGGGAAAAUGGUUGAGGCGGUGAUCAAAAUCAAGACUUUACAAGCUAGAUUGAUACAGGACGGACCUCAAUAAAGCUUUCAUACAGCUGACACUUGAGUUUCUGACAAAGCAGAAAUUUGAAGCAUAUGAUUCUAAAGGCAGUGUAGUAGCCGUAGACAAGAAAAAAGAGGUGCUUGUACGUGACAUCUGAGUCUUUGAGAAGUCUCUAUUCCAUACAGGAGCUUGCUGACGACUCUGGCUGGAUUGAACUUCCAACAAAGGAUAAAAUCCAACCUGCCCUCUGAUUUUUUGUUUGCUAGUCAGUAAUCUCUAUACAAAUUGGCUUUCUUCUAUUUUUCUCUUGCAAUGUAAGCCUGAAUGUUAUCUGAUUAGGCCCUAGAGUUGUUAGGCAAAUGAUUAGUAAGUACAAAGAUAUCAGAAAGAAACAAACCAGUUUUCUGUUUUGUUUUUGUAGUUCCAUUAACAGAGAAAGGUUGUGUUGUUUCUAUUGCUUACAUUUGAUCUCUUCUA